rnacentral:lncRNA from 1 species
AAAGGAGGAACACAAAGUUACUUGAAAUAGAUAAGGACAAAGCUCACACGAUUUAGCUCAUUCACUUCUCUAUCACGUUUAUGGUACGUAAAAUAUCUCUAUCAUGCAUGUAAAAGUAAUGUUGUUGAGAUAUGUUAGGUUAUGUUGUUGUUGUGUUAUUGAGAUAUUGUAGGUUUUGGUAUUGAUGAUUUUGUGUUAUUGAGAUAUUGUGGUUUUGUUAUUAAGAUAUUGUAGGUUUCGUAUUAUUGAUAUAUUAUUAUGUUGUUGUUAUUAAUAUAUGAAAGGUUUUGGUAUUGAUGUUGUUGUUGUUGUUGUGAUUAUGUUGUUGUUGUGAUUAUGUUGUUGUUGUUGUUGAUGAUUUUUAGUGCUUAAACCCUAAAGGUUUAUUUGUUGUUGGUUAGAAUGUUAAUUAAUUUUUAGUGCCUAUAUGUUGUUGUUG